CCAGACUCCUACGGGAGGCAGCAGUGAGGAAUAUUGGUCAAUGGGCGGGAGCCUGAACCAGCCAAGCCGCGUGAAGGAAGAAGGCGCCAGGCGUCGUAAACUUCUUUUGUCGGGGAACAAAGGGCGCCACGUGUGGCGUUGUGAGUGUACCCGAAGAAAAAGCAUCGGCUAACUCCGUGCCAGCAGCCGCGGUAAUACGGAGGAUGCGAGCGUUAUCCGGAUUUAUUGGGUUUAAAGGGUGCGUAGGCGGACUGUUAAGUCAGCGGUAAAAGCCCGGGGCUCACCCCCGGCGAGCCGUUGAAACUGGCUGUCUUGAGAUGUCGAGAGGUAUGCGGAAUGCGCAGUGUAGCGGUGAAAUGCAUAGAUAUCACGCAGAACUCCGAUUGCGAAGGCAGCAUACCGGCGCCCUACUGACGCUGAGGCACGAAAGCGUGGGUAUCGAACAGGAUUAGAUACCCUCGUAGA
rnacentral:rRNA from 1 species